rnacentral:rRNA from 1 species
GACAGAGGGUGCAAACGUUGCUCGGAAUCACUGGGCGUAAAGGGCGUGUAGGCGGGCAUGUAAGUCGGGCGUGAAAUCCCUAGGCUCAACCUAGGAACUGCACUCGAAACUGCGUUUCUUGAGUAUCGGAGAGGAAAGCGGAAUACCUGGUGUAGAGGUGAAAUUCGUAGAUAUCAGGUGGAACACCAGUGGCGAAGGCGGCUUUCUGGACGAUAACUGACGCUGAGACGCGAAAGCGUGGGGAGCAAACAGG